rnacentral:rRNA from 1 species
UACGUAGGGACCGAGCGUUGUCCGGAAUCAUUGGGCGUAAAGAGCGUGUAGGCGGCCACUUAAGUCCUGCGUGAAAUCUCGGGGCUCAACCCCGAGCGGUCGUGGGAAACUGUCGGGCUAGAGUCCGGAAGAGGCGAGUGGAAUUCCUGGUGUAGCGGUGAAAUGCGCAGAUAUCAGGAGGAACACCAAUGGCGAAGGCAGCUCGCUGGGACGGUACUGACGCUGAGACGCGAAAGCGUGGGGAGCAAACAGG